rnacentral:rRNA from 1 species
AACGAACGCUGGCGGCGUGCCUAACACAUGCAAGUCGAACGUGAUUGAAGAGCUUGCUCCUCAUGAAAGUGGCGCACGGGUGAGUAACGCGUAGAUCAUCUACCUGAUGAUUCGGGAUAACACUUCGAAAGGGGUGCUAAUACGGGAUAAGCCCACGGAGUCUUUGGACACUGCGGGAAAAGGAGGGGACCUUCGGGCGUUCCGUCAUCAGAUGAGUCUGCGUACCAUUAGCUAGUUGGUAGGGUAAAGGCCUACCAAGGCGACGAUGGUUAGCUGGUCUGAGAGGAUGAUCAGCCACACUGGAACUGAGACACGGUCCAGACUCCUACGGGAGGCAGCAGUGGGGAAUUUUGCGCAAUGGGGGAAACCCUGACGCAGCAACGCCGCGUGAGUGAUGAAGGCCCUUGGGUCGUAAAGCUCUGACAGAGGGAAAGAAAUGUGGGUGGCUAAUAUCCAUUCCACUUGACGGUACCCUCAAAGGAAGCACCGGCUAACUCCGUGCCAGCCGCCGCCGUAACAC